rnacentral:rRNA from 1 species
AUUGUUUAUAUAUCUCCUCAUGGUGCUGUUUUUGAAGCCUCGUGCCACCUAGAAUAUUUUUGCACAAACAAUCAAGCCGAAUAUGAAGCAUUGUUAUUCGGCCUAGAGAUGUUACUUGCUAUAGGCGUUACACAUAUUGAGGCUUACGGUGAUUCGUUACUAGUAGUGCAGCAAGUAUCCAAAGUCUUUCAGUGUUUGGACGAAUCACUUAAUGUUUAUCUUGAUAAAUGUCUGGAUAUAAUUUCUACAUUGGAUUGUUUUAGCAUUACUCAUAUAUCUAGGCAUGACAAUUGGAGAGCAAAUGAGUUGGCACAGCAAGCAUCCGGC